rfam:Triticum aestivum genome assembly, contig: Triticum_aestivum_CS42_TGACv1_scaffold_642807_T_1AL-0.189525_1BL-0.173005
UGAGUACUCCCUCCGUCCGGAAAUACUUGUCAUCAAAAUGAACAAAAAGGGAUGUAUCUAGAACUAGAAUACGUCUAGAUACAUCUUCCUUUAUCCAUUUUGAUGAUAAGUAUUUCCAGACGGAGGGAGUAUUAU